rnacentral:rRNA from 1 species
GACGAACGCUGGCGGCGUGCUUAACACAUGCAAGUCGAACGGAAAGGCCCUGCUUUUGUGGGGUGCUCGAGUGGCGAACGGGUGAGUAACACGUGAGUAACCUGCCCUUGACUUUGGGAUAACUUCAGGAGACUGGGGCUAAUACCGGAUAGGAGCUCCUGCUGCAUGGUGGGGGUUGGAAAGUUUCGGCGGUUGGGGAUGGACUCGCGGCUUAUCAGCUUGUUGGUGGGGUAGUGGCUUACCAAGGCUUUGACGGGUAGCCGGCCUGAGAGGGUGACCGGCCACAUUGGGACUGAGAUACGGCCCAGACUCCUACGGGAGGCAGCAGUGGGGAAUAUUGCACAAUGGGCGGAAGCCUGAUGCAGCAACGCCGCGUGCGGGAUGACGGACUUCGGGUUGUAAACCGCUUUCGCCUGUGACGAAGCGUGAGUGACGGUAAUGGGUAAAGAAGCACCGGCUAACUACGUG